AAAAGCAUUAGUAAUAACAAUAAUUAGCAGUCGCCUUGUGUUUUACAACCAUUAGUCAGCUGAAGACUACAAUAGCUUUGGGAGUUGUGCUCUGCAGCAGAAUGGGAGACCUUCCAGCUGACACCUCAUAGAUCAUCAAAAUUAAGACCUUUAGGCGAGAAAAAAGAAAAUAGAGAGAGGAAGAAUCUGUUGGAUGUCUCCUUUAAAGAUGGACAGCUUUCAUUAAGAAUCGAACGAUUCUUGUCAUCCUGCUUCUCCUGUUUCCGUGACAACAGGCAACAUGUAAGAAGGAGUGGUCCUUGGUGCCCACCUGCGACGGCUGUUUGGAUGACCUAUGGCCAGUGGGGAUGCACAGCAAGUGGGACGAGUGAGACAGCUCUUGGUUAGAGCCCCCUUUUUCUGCCAGACUAAAUCCUAAAGAAAUCAGAGCAACCAACAAGCUGGAAACAAACUGAACUGUACAGUCAAUCAGCAAAGUUAUUAAGCUCUUGUCACGUGCCAGGCAUUGUUAACACGGAGCUAAGAGACGAAGAAAGGCAAAAAAACAAUUCCUGCCCUAAGGAGGUUACAUUCAAAGGGAAAAGACAACACCUAUCCAAAUAGGUAUGUUAAAGCAGGGUGAUAGUAAAAGUUUAACAACUGGCUCUCUAAUAAAAAACUGCUCACCACACUUUUAACAUUUUUUCCAUCAUUUUCUCAAGUCCAGACAAUCAACACACAAAAAGUCAAGUUCCGAUCUGUAGUGUUUGCCAGUCUCUAAAAUGUAACUUUUCACACUGGUUCCAGGACAUCCCUGGGAACAUACCGCUUAUCUACCAAGCAGAGGAGAGCUCAUCUCCGAGGCUAACCUCAGGCACUGGCGGCCGGGUGGAGCUGGUGCGGGAUUUCUGCAGAAGGGCUUUGAGCUGAGCUGAGGUACUUCAGCCUUCUUCAGCUGCUGACAACUCUUGUGGGGGAAGGGAGAAGAGAUGGUGGCUGGUGCUUUUCUGUAAAGAAUUCAUUAUUAUCAUGUCAUCACCUUGCUUCAUUUUCCUCUUUGCCACAUGCCAGUCACCAGAAGGCCAGGGAGAAGUGGUGUUCUGCAUUUUGGCAGACACAAUGUCUGCCCUCCUCAAUCUAGGCCACUUAACAUGCUGAAGAAGACAGAUCAGAUCAGCUGGGUCUGCAGACCCAACAGCCAUCAGGCACCUCCCUCUACCUGGUUCAUGCAUGACAUCCCUAGCUCACUCCCUAGUGACUUGCUGGUCUGGAACCAACAGGUCUUGGAGGCCUAGAAGACUUAGUGGCAGAUUAGGUCUUCUCUCUUCCCAUUCUGCUCCUGACCACUACGGCCCCCUUCCUGGCUAGCAUUAUGAGCUAUUUGUGAAUCACUGAUUUAGAGAUGGAAGGGACAUAGAGGCCACGAUAUAACAUGCUCAAUUUUACAGGUGAGGAAACUAAGGCGCAGCAUGGUCAUAGCAUCAUUGAUCUAUGGAAGGGACUUUAGAAAUCAUAUAAGCCAACACCCUCUUUUUAUAGAUGGGGAACCGAGGCCCAGAGAGGUCAG